UUCAGCAUUAAUCAGCAGGAAACAGUGGAAACUGGCUUUGCAGGGCAUGGAAUGGACUCCUGGGAGGACACGCAGCCCGAGCUCACGGACCUACGAAGAGAGACUUUCUGGCACUGUAUAAUCCUUCCCAAGGCACUUUAGCUAUGUUUCAUCAGGAACCACGAGACUUCAUCAGAACAGGAGGGUCAGAUAUUCUAAGGAUGGUCUGUUCAGCUGGGACAAUACACCUGCGGAUGACAUCGUAUGAGCCGUAGAAUCUCCUUUCUUUGUGAAGAAAAGUGGACAAAUGUUCGACUUCCAAAUCAAGUCUUCGGUGAACUGGUAUAACUUUGCUGGAAAGCAGUUUGUCAAUAUGUAUUUCAAGUCCUAAAAAUAUUUAUACCCCCCCUCAAAUACACACAUA